CGGAGAAACAGAAAAGAUUUACCUGGAAUAUCUCAUACAUUCCUGCAUAUAGGCAUCAAAUGUACACCAUUUUUAGAAGCCUACUUUUGCCAGAGUCAGUAGAUGCCAGAAUGAAGUCAUUGCCUAAACACAUUGGCACCCUCACAGCCUUCGACAUUUUGGGAUAUAUGAUCUUCAAAAUCUUGUGUCAUUUGCCUCCCAAGCUGCAAUAUUUUCAUAUUUUAAAUUGUGACAGACUGAGCCCUUUGGUGGGAGAUUACUGGGGUUUGCAAGGACUUGGUGGCAAUAUCUUGUGGACGUUUCUCAAGGAACAGCUGCUCAAUACCACUCUUCGCACUCUAUAUAUUAUGGCCUGUCAGUCUAUAAUUCCUGCCAGGAGAGGAACUUGAACGCCUCUCUUCACUGCAAAGGCUACAUAUUUGUGGGUGUGACAAUAUCCAAUUCCUGCCAGAAGAGCGUUUGCUGCCAUCUCUUUCUUAUCUGUGCAUCGACCAUUGUUUUGCCAUGUAGAAAAGGUAUCUCACAUUCCUUGCGUCAAGAUAGGUGAAGAAGUGAUCAUAGGAUAUGAGCUCUCUCUCCCUCUCGCUCACAUACAAAUCUUUUCGCAGGACAACAUAUCUUCUCUUGGAGAGAUAUUCAUUUGCAAGGUUUCUUUAUGUGUCAUUUCCAGAGGAGGGUUUACUAUUUAAUAGAAAGGUUCACCUGGAAUAUCUCAACUGACACAUUCCCAAAUACAGGCAUUGAAUGCACAACAUUUUGAGAAGCCUACUUUUUGACAUAGGUGGCAUGGCACAAACUCGCAUCCGCAUUUCCUUCCCCAUUGGCAUGCUGUCUCAUCUUUUCUGUUCUGUUACCAGCUUGAAGCUUGUGUAGAUAUGUUAUGCUCUUGUAAUUCUGAUCACAAACAUCGCUUGACAAAUGGAAAGUCACAAUUAGAUCUUUCAGGAGUUAGCCACACAAAAUAAAAAAGGAGGCCUCUUAUUUCAUACAAUUUUUCUAAAGUGAUCAUUCAUCCGUUUCUUUUUCAACAAUGGAGGAAUGUAUACUAAUCGUCUGGUCCGUCUGCUGCAUCACUCCCUAGUAGCUUCAUCUCCUGUCCUUUGCUUUAGAAUGUAUUAUCACCAAAAUUAUAAAGUAUACUCCUGUUACAAUUAAUUUGUUGAUUCUAAUUUGGACUUGUAGGAACAGGCCAAACAUGUUCAUACGUGGCAUUGCUCAAGUCAUCAUCAUUUGGGACAGAGAAUCAGCCUUCAAAUGUCUGCUGAGUCAAUGAUCCUUUCUAGAUAUCUCAAGUGUAAUGGAAAUUGAUGAGUUAUAAAGGAUUUGUAAACAUUUUCUACUGGAGGCUAGAAAUGCUUCUCAUAAGUGGCUGUGUUGCAAUUAUUUUGUAGGAUCAAAGACUCUGCAAAGAGUUUGUCGAUCUUGGGCAAGUGGAGAGAGAGGCGUCAAGUGAUACACAACAACCAUUUUCUGUGAGCUAAUUUGAUAAUGAUAAAUGGCAAAAAUGGCAGCAGCUUUGAUCGGAGAGGCUCUCAUCUCUGCUUCUAUCGAGGUGUUGUGUGACAGAGUUACUUCAGCCGAGUUCAUCGACUUAUUUCGGCAGAAGAAACUCGAUGAACCACUCCUCAUGAACCUGAAGGCGACACUGUUGGUUUUGUUCGCGGUGCUCAAUGAUGCAGAGGAGAAGGAAAUUGUGAACCCUGCUGUGAGAGAGUGGCUUAACGAGCUCAAGCAUGCUUUCUUUGAUGCAGAGGACUUACUUGAUGAGAUUGACACUGAAGCUUUGCGAUGCAAGCUGGAAGGAACAGACCAAAUAUGAACAGACCAAAUAUGUUCACACGUGGCAUCACUCAAGUCAUCAUCAUUUCCGACAGAAAAUCAGCCUUCAACUGUCUGCUGAGUCAAUGAACCUUUCUAGAUAUAUCAAGUGCAAUGGAAAUUCAUGAGUUACAUAGAGAUUUGUAAACAUUUUGAAGAUUGCAACACCUGCAAGUGAGAUGGGUGGUGACGAAAUCAGAGCUGAUCUUGAAGCCUCUGAUGCCCCGGUUAUUGCAAGUUGCACCUGAGAACAUGUUUUUUUGGGGUAAAAAACUGACAACAUGUUCGGAGCUGGCAAUUCAAUCAGUGAUGAACUUAAGAAGCAAAGCUCCAGUAAGGAAAUUGGUCGAGGUCGCCACAGGGAUGAUUGAUGGUGAAAUGGAUACUAUUUCUUAUUGCAGACUGUUCUCAAAGCUCUUGUUGGCAAAUGCAAGAAAUGGAGUAUUUUGAUUGGAAGGAGAGAUAAUGACAUGUCUUGACAAUUCUAGAACAGCCCAUUUGAGUUCUUUUGUCAGGCUGCAUCAUUCAAUCCCAGCAAAUAUCCGGUUUCUGCUAAACAGUCACUUAUGGCAAGGCCAACUCUGCUAAACAAUUACAUUUUUUCUUUUUGAGGAAUUUAACUUUGUCAUCAAAUCAAACAGUAUUCUAAUGCAUUAUGGU